rnacentral:rRNA from 1 species
GAUGAACGCUGGCGGCGUGCCUAAUACAUGCAAGUCGAGCGAACAGAUGAGGAGCUUUCUCCUCUGACGGUAGCGGCGGACGGGUGAGUAACACGUGGAUAACCUACCUAUAAGACUGGGAUAACUUCGGGAAACCGGAGCUAAUACCGGAUAAUAUAUUGAACCGCAUGGUUCAAUAGUGAAAGACGGUUUUGCUGUCACUUAUAGAUGGAUCCGCGCCGCAUUAGCUAGUUGGUAAGGUAACGGCUUACCAAGGCAACGAUGCGUAGCCGACCUGAGAGGGUGAUCGGCCACACUGGAACUGAGACACGGUACAGACUCCUACGGGAGGAAGCAGUAGGGAAUCUUACGCAAUGGGGGAAAGCCUGACGGAGCAAAGUGGCGUGAGUGAUGACGGUGUUCGGAUCGGAGAACUAUGUUAGUAGGAAAGAACAAAUGUGUAAGUACCGAUGAACGUCUUGACGGUACCUAAUGAGAAAGCCCCGGCUAACUACGUG